GUGUACCUGUGUACCAGGUGGAUGCCUGUUGCCUUAAGAGACCAGAAGAGGGAGCUGAGUCCCCUGGAACUGGAGUUACAGAUGGGUAUGCAGGAGGUUGUGUUUGGGCGUCCAAUGAAGAGAAAGGAGCAGAGGAAGCAGAAGAGGAUGGAGAUGAGCAGGGUGUAGCUGAGAGUCCUGUUAUUGGCCUUAACAAUGGCAGAUUCUUGGUGUUUGAGAAAGAUUCCCAAAACUGCAAUUGUGUUGACAGAUAAGCACAUAGCUAUGCAUGCCAGCGCGAUGCCCAGAGGAUCCUCAAAGGAAAGAAAUGUCACUGCCUUGGGCAGACAAUAGUUUCUCUCUGGGUUUGGGUACUCUUGACUUGGGCAAGGGAUGCACUCCUGCUGAUCUGUAUGGAGAAAUUGGAUCAACAUUUCACCUUAUAUAAAUAUCUAUUUGUUGCACAUUUAAUUCAUUAAAGUGCUUUCCAGUGA